rnacentral:rRNA from 1 species
CCUACGGGUGGCAGCAGUGAGGAAUAUUGGUCAAUGGGCGCGAGCCUGAACCAGCCAAGUAGCGUGAAGGAUGAAUGCCCUACGGGUUGUAAACUUCUUUUAUAAAGGAAUAAAGUGAGGCACGUGUGCCGUUUUGUAUGUACUUUAUGAAUAAGGGUCGGCUAAGUCCGUGCCAGCAGCCGCGGUAAUACGGAGGCUCCGAGCGUUAUCCGGAUUUAUUGGGUUUAAAGGGAGCGUAGGUGGGUGGUUAAGUCAGCUGUGAAAGUUUGCGGCUCAACCGGAGAAUUGCAAUUGAUACUGGCAGUCUUGAGUACAGUUGAGGUAGGCGGAAUUCGUGGUGUAGCGGUGAAAUGCUUAGAUAUCACGAGGAACCCCGAUUGCGAAGGCAGCCUGCUAGACUGCCACUGACAUUGAUGCUCGAAAGUGUGGGUAUCAAACAGGAUUAGAUACCCUGGUAGUC